rnacentral:rRNA from 1 species
UACGAAGGGGGCUAGCGUUGCUCGGAAUCACUGGGCUUAAAGCGCGUGUAGGUGGGUCGUUAAGUGUCCGCGUGAAAUCCCACGGCUCAACCGUGGAACUGCCGGGCAUACUGGCGAUCUUGAGGCAUUCAGGGGCGAGCGGAACAAAUGGUGGAGCGGUGAAAUGCGUAGAUAUCGUUUGGAACGCCAAUGGUGAAAACAGGUCGCUGGGGAUGAGCUGACGCUGAGACACGAAAGCCAGGGGAGCAAACGGG